ensembl:miRNA
UUGUAUUAGGUUGGUGCAAAAGUAAUCGUGGUUUUUGCCGUUACUUUCAAUGACAAAAAACACAAUUACUUUUGCAUCAACCUAAUAUCUUUC